GCGUUCACUUCAGCAGCACAUAUACUAAAACUGGAAUGAUUCAGAGAAGAUUAGCAUGUCCCCUGUGCAAAGCUGACACGCAAAUUUCUGAAGUAUUCCAUAUUUUU